CUCUUCUCCUAAGUCCUUUUGAGUUCUCCUAUCCACUAUCCCUUAACCCCGUGACGUUUCACACAGAGGUCAAGGGAUUGACGAUAGGAAUAAACGAUAGGAGCUGAUUUUUGGACUAUUCGACCGCAACCCAGGACAGACAAUCAAAACAGGCGGGGAAACACACAAAGACAGGAAGUUAAAAACAGACAUGACACAUGCACAAAAGGUUUUUAAAAAAACAAAGCAAAGUAAUCAUAUCACUCAGAUUGACCCCUUUAUUCCAGAUCGGAUUUUUUGAAUGGCAGUGAAAUAGAAAAGGAAGGGGAUACAUCAACACAAGCUACAUGUGUUGCACUGACUGGAGACCACUCACACUACCUCAGUGUGACAGCAGACCUAAUUGGUUAAAAAUGGCAACUGCACUUGUUUGCGUUAGGUGUGGUGAAAACAGAGGAAAUACUUUUUGUUUAACCAUGCUCCAGUUUCUUGAAGUUACACAGGAGUGGGGGAUAGUGGACACGGUUACCACUGUAGGAACAGAUAGUGCUCGCAGUAUGUUAGCGGUAGCAACAUACUGAGCAUAUGUUCUGUGUAGCCACAUUAUACAGAGAGGGACCACAGGGGCUCUCUGUGACAGCGGUUUGUCAAUAUGACAACAAUUCAGAAAUCAUGUUAUAAUAAAAUAAAAUACCCUCUCUUUUUUAACAGUUUGUCAUGCAUUUUUUUAUGAUGACACCACCCGGGUAUUUGUUUUAUCCCCCCCCAAAAUACAAGUAAAUGCUAGAAUUUCUUGACACCCUGACAGAUACAGUUACUGUUUCAUUUACAGUUGAGUGAGUGCUGUAAUACAAUGUGUGUCUUUCUCAACAGAAAUCUUUGGCCAGUUGUCUAAUGGGAUGAACAUGACUCUUCUUGAAUCAGAGUGGAUGUACCUUUCGAUGUACACUUAAACUGAAAUGGCGGCAGGAUGCACUUGGAAUCACAGCAGCACAUAAAGCUGAAGAAAAGUUGUGUAUUUCUUUACAAUCCUAUGUUCAUACAAAUGUAUGUUCACACAGAAAAUAAUCAUUUCUGUUUGAAGGUUUGAGGUAACUUUAGGUAUAUUUCUUAGGGUUUAGGGCAAAUAUUAGAUUAAUAAACAUUUUCUUUAGGAAUUGGUUUUGCAAGCUUUUCCAAAAAGUGAGACAACCCAAUGCAAGCUGACAAGAACAUGCAGGACAUAUUUUGUAUACGCAAACCCCGAAAGGAAGCAUUGCUCUGGUUCUAUUGACAAAUAGCCAAUGAGAUGUUUUCAAUUGGACUGAUUCAGAAAAUAAUCUCUGUGGCAAACAAACGUUACACUUUUGGUUUUUAUGAUUUGUGUGUACAUACAAAUUGGCGUAAGUAAAAAGUUAAUGUUAGGCUACAAACCAACAACACACAACAUGACUUCAUUUUACAACCACUUGCAGAUUUUUAGUAAUGUCAAUUACCUGCUCGGAACCAGUGUUUUUGGAGACACAAAACAGCUUUGGAAAAACACAAGUGGGGUAUUUACUGACAUAUUUGAUGUUGCAUAACAAAACAUUAAAAUCUUUAACCUGUGUGAACAAAGGAGAAAUGUGCGCUGAUGUUCCAAAACCUACAAGUGUCUGUCACAGCUGUCAUCACCCGAACACUCCCCUGCAACUGCCAAUUGGCCUCCGCCCAGUUCUGGAUUAGCCAUAAGGUGGGCGGUGUAGUCACUAUAGCAACAGAAAACGUUGUCUUUAUGGUUGUCACUCUAACUAAGCUUAGACUUCUUACGUUAGUUAAAAAUACUGUUCAAACUGAAAAUCAGAUUUCAAUCAAUGUAUUACAGAUUUGAUCAUCAAAGCGCAGUUUUAUUAAAAACAGAACUGGAAGAUGACCACAACAAUUGUAUCAAAUCAACAAUUAUGGGUGAUGGGUGUUAAGAAAACUGUGAUUUUAACAUAUCUUAUAUCUCAAUAUAUUUGUGUUAUACUAUGACUGGAUUUUGUGUGUGUUUUUAGCCAUGGUAGCCUCUGGUCAGUCCUCUAUUUUAUAUCCCAAUAACUAUUUGAUGGAUUGUCUAUAUUUAUGUUAAUAUUCAUGGUGCCACCAGUAUGUAGCAUAAUACAUUUGUUGAUUACAUUUCUUAGGCGGAUGGAUUUUCAAUUAAAUUUGGUUCAGACAUGCAUUCUCCCUGAAUACUUUAAAAAAAAAAAAUGCUAUUCACAUUGGUGAUCCCUUACCUUUACAACUAGCCCCACCAUCUGGACAUACUUAUAAUUGUCCAAACCAAAUUUUUGAUAUAUAUAUAUUUCUAACUGGCAAAUCUAAAUCUUGGCAUGCUAAUAUGCAAAUCAGUAAUAGCAUAUUAACAUUGGGACAAUGGCAUGCUGACAUUAGCAAUUAGCUCAAAGCACCACUGUGCACAGCCUCAGACUGGUGCUAGCAUGGCUAAUUGUUAAGUCUAAUAGCUGAUCUUCAUGAUGGGAUACUUCUACAUUUUAUGUUUUUGGUGGGAAUAGACUUUGUACUUUACAAAAUAAAGACAUUUUCCAAACAGUA